CGAACGCUCUUUUUGCCUGUCUUCCCGCGUGGCCGCCUCGACCAGCCCUUGGAACGCGUCCUGAUGCCGAGGCGGGUGAAGUCAGGGCGGCGCGAAGGGCUGCUGUAAGGCUUUCUCCUCAGAGCGCCACUAAAGUGGGUUCCCAUCCCACAGGCCCCAUUGAGAUCCCCAUUUCUGCCCUGAAGUCUUGCUUAUCACUGCAUGUUGGGGAAAGGACAAAUGAUAAGACUGGUCAGGAGGAAUGAGCAGGGAAGGUCAUGGCUGCUAGAUCUCUUGGUGCACUGGGGAACUAAAAGCUACAUACUGUAAGACUGAGGUUGUAUACUGUACACAAUAGCUGAACAUUUCACAUGCAGUGCAGAAGCAAUGAAACCUUAGUCACUGAUGAUGACUGGCCUUCCCCUCAAUGAGCCAAACUCCCUUCUAUGGAUGGACGUAGCCACUGUUUGUUUUGCCUCGGCAAGGCCCACAAAGGUGAAGCGUGUGUCUACUGUGCCAAGUUCAGCAAACAGGCACACAAGAACUGGGCCUCACAUCACUGGUUCUGGCUUUGGGAACAGGCAGUCAGAUCCUCCCAGGAGACAUCCACCCCAGCCACCAUGUAAACUGGCUCUGAGAAUCCCCCCGACACCCUCAGGCUCACAGCCUACCACCGCGGCCUUAUCCACUGAAGCCCUGACAUCAGGCGCUUCCAAGCAUGUUCAUGAGCUCUUUCUAUGUCUGCUUCUGUACUGACAACCUCAGUACCAUCCAUCAGCAUGGCAGCUUAGACCACGACUUCAGUUCCAUUGGGCUCAACUUCCUCAGCCCUCCAGGAAAAAAAGAAAAAUAAGCCAUAGCCAGCCAAUGCCGCUUUUACAGCUUCUGUGGCCACUACAGGUAAAACACCUGUGAAAUUUCUUAAGCAUAACCUGUCUGCCCCAAUGGGAGACACCCAAUCUAAACCAAACAAGCGAUAUUAAUCACUUAUACAGUCAUCUCAAGCCACUUGGAACUCUCCACUUGGAACCCAACCGCUUGGCAGACUCUCAACACUCAGUCGUUUUAGAGCUGGAUCAAGAGACCCUGGCAAUUGGACUCAAACAAAACCACCUUGAUCCCAAAGAGUGCCUUGAACCUGAGGAUCAGCUCUACCACUCAAAGUGGAGGAUCUCCCUUAUGACCCCAAAAGCCAUUCAGAUCUGGAUGCAAGUCCCGACGAACAAUAACACUAUGGGGUAAAUGAUGCCUCAGACAUUGAGGACGUUCACUCUGAGUUAGAAGAACUCUGCCCUAACCCUAACCCCAGGACCUCUGGUCAUUCUCAACCCUAUGGUUUCCACUCUUCUACCCAAGACCAAUCACACUAUAUGCACCAUUACUACUCGAAUUGGGACAAUCGACAGGUUUUAUCACACGUUUGGACUCCUCCAUCCUAGAGACAUGGACCGUUAUGAUUCAUCUUCAUGGCAAUCCACCUCCAGGGAUCUGCCUUCUCAAUUUCAUCACUCCUAGCUGGACCAGUGAGACUGCCAUGGGUCUACCAGAGACAGAUCCCGUUCACCUCAAUGUGCACCGGAUAGGCCACCACACUAUGCUGACAGUACCAUGCCUACACUUUCUACAAACCCCAGAUCUUUGCAAUGCCAAUAACAGACCACUGCUCAAAACCCUCCUCCUUUCCCACCUCAGGCAAUCUGCUUUCUCAUACUAAACCUAAUUCACUGACAUGGCCUCAGCAAUACCCUCCAGCUACACAGGCUGUUCCCACUACCCAGGACAACAAGCCUUUGGAUGACUUUUGAAACAUUCAACCAGACUGCAGUAAAGAUGGCACCUCUGAAGAGGAAUCUGACUAUAAUGACCCCGAUGAUCAAUCUACCCAAUUGGACUUGGCAUCUUUGGGCUUAUCACCACCUGAUCAUCUAGCUGACUCUAAACCAGGUUCUCUGUCUGAGGACUAUAAACUUUAUGCUGACUACAUAUCACAACCAAACGUCUUGAGAACUUUUAUAGAGUGCACACAGAAGAUGAACAGGUAGGGAAGUUCCUUCAACACUAUCCCAUGCCCAACUCCAUUGUGGUUGAAUCAUCACUAAAUAUCACUAAAUAUAGCUCUCACCCCGCCUCAACACUGGCAGACAAGGAGGGCAAGAAACUUGACACUUUUGGCAGACAGCGUUACUCCAUCUCAGCUCUACACUUUAAGGUCACCAAUUACCAGGCCUACAGUGCCUGCUACAAUCAUUUCUUGUGGGAAUGCCUAGCUCCCUUUCCGGAUCAUCUUCCCCCUGACAAGAAGGAACCUGCUAAGGUUUUCCUCUGUAAGGUGGCACACCAGGCUAAGCAAGAGCCCUAUUCAGCUAGGCAUUCUGCGGAGUGUGCAUUGAAAGCCAUGGCUGCCACAGUUGCCAUAUGCCACCACACCUGGCUGCCUUCCUCUGGUUUAGCCUAUGGUGCCUGCUCUCGUAUAGAAGAUCUGCCUUUUGACAGAGAUGUGCUUUUUGGUGACAAAGCCAAUGAGACCCAGCAAAAGGUCCAACGCCUCCAUAACACAGCUUGGUCCAUUAGCUAGCAGUCCUCCUCAUCUAGACAACAAAGACCAACUAAAUGGACCCAUAGCCAACCUCACCAUCCUGCCACUCAGUUCCAUCAAGCUUCUUUUGUGUGCCCCACCACCAACCAUACAACAAGCACACCUCCUACUCCCAAUGGCCAGAAGCCUCCAAGUCCAGGCCGCCUCCUACCUUCUCAGAGAAACAUUGACCUUCUCCUCCAGUGCACAUGGGGAACCUGCUUACCCACCUAUAUCCCUGCUUGGGAAGCAUUAAGUCAGAUUUGUGGGUCCUCACAAUCAUAAGGAUUGGAUACAUGCUGGAAUUUUCCUCUAUACCCCCAUUCAAUCCACUUGUUGCUACCAGGGCCACUCCCAUCCUGGCAGAGGUGGCCUCGCUACUCAACAAGCAAGCCAUCGAACUGCUUCACAAUCCAUCUUCUCAAGGCUCGCUAUACUUUGCAGUCCCCAAACAUGACAGAGGACUCCCUCCCAUCCUCAAUCCCCAGGACCUCAACCAAUACAUCAUCUACAGAUGUUUUUGGAUAAUCGCCAUCCUCACUCUUCUCCAAAAAGGCAUGUGGAUCAUAUCCUUGGACCUCAAGGAUGCUUACUACCACCUCACCAUCCAUCCCCAGCUUUUCCACGUCAAUAUCAUAGACAACACCUACCAAUUCAAAUCUCUGCCUACUUGGCCCUAAGUGUGCAAGAAAGAGCAAAUGAAAGGACUACCAUUCAGAGGUGUGGUGGACAUAGUAGGAGAAUGCCCUGUGAACAGCAAGGGAGUGUAGGCAACAAGCUGUGUGUGUGUGUGUUCUCAACAAACUUGAUCUGUAUUAUAAUAUAUAUUCAUAUAUGUUUCUUAGGUUAAUCUGUAUGUUGUUUUGGAUAUAUCUCUGGAAGGGUUGCUAAUUGUUGUAUUGUUAUUUUGCAAUUCUGCUAUUAUUUGUAAUUGAUCAAAGAUUGUAAUAAAUUGACUGAGAUGCA